CAGUGGCUCUUGGGUCUGUGUACCCACAUCCAUACCACUCUACAAAAGGGGGAGGCCUGCUGGCCACCAGUUGCCCAUCCCUGAUACAAAUCAUCAUGAUAUCAUUCUGCCAGGAUGGUUUCCCUUAGCAGCUCCCUGCUUGGAUAACGUUACCGCUGUGCUGUUGUGAUUCUCCGGAUAAUGGGUCUCCCAUUCCUAACAGAGCUUUCUUGGAUUUGAAAACCAGAGAGAGUCAAGGCAAAAGAGAAGUUGCAGUCAGGCAGCAGGGACGGUGUGAGGUGCCGGUAAGGCGCCAGGAAUAGAGAGUGAACUGUGCUGCCUGCCUCUGGAGGACAUGCUCAUGUCCCCUUGUUGACCACUUCCUCCCUUUGCUCAAGCCAUGUCACUCCAUCUUUUGUGGGCUUGAAUCUAAAUCGUAGCCCAGACCUAACUGUGUCA
ensembl:lncRNA